AAUUUUAGAUUGUUAAAAAACAGAUCUAAAUAGUUUAAGACAUUUGCUUGUUCAUUGAUAUAAUUUUAGACUAAUGGCACCACUGUUAUAUUUUCAGAUAAACAUAUUAGGUUGAAAGCUGAUGUUGAUAAUUAUUCCAUUCAAGAGCAUUUAUAAGAAUCGCUCUUUGGGAGCCUAUGUCUUGACCAUAAAGAAAUAUGUUAUUCUCAGUGAUGUGACAAAAAUUCUUUCAUUUUUGUUAUCAAAGUUCAUGAUUGGGCUUCUCAACAGAAAUUCAUUUCCCAUAAACAAACCCAAAGAUGGCAGUCCUUUGAAUUUUUGCAAAAUGUGUUCAUACUCCACUGCAUACAAAGGAAAUCUUAAAACACACAUGUUGGUUCAUACUGGAGAGAGACGUUACGUCUGCAACAUUUGUCAUAAAUCUUUUAGCUUGAAAGGAAAUUUAAAAACUCACAUGAGGCUACAUUCUGGUGAGCGUCCUUACGAAUGUGAUAUGUGUGAUAAGAAGUUCACACAACAAUCUGCGCUUGUAAGUCAUCAAAAAAGUCAUGUGAGAUGGAAUGAACCACAAACACAAGAUUUUGACUAUCAACUGUAAUUGAAAACAAAAAAAAGUGCACCUUUGAGCAUUUCAAUAACGUACAAAAUUGUUGUAAGAAGACUGCUGAUUUUAUGUGGCUUAAUGCAUUCUUUUUGGGAAUAUCUCUGAUCAUAUUUUCUUUUUUUAAAAAAAUUCGGCAAAGAAAUAGUGUUUUUUCAUUUACUUCUAAAGACUAAUUAAUAAAUUGAAAAUAAAAUAUUUUAAAAAAGUUAAAAUAAAAUAGGUAUUUCAAACAAAAUAUAUUACAAAAUAAUAAUUAGAUUAUUAAUUCUUCAGAGGCAUCACUUGCUUUGCCCGCUGUAGCCUAACAAAAUUAUUUUUCAAAACUCCUUGUACAUUUUGAAAUAUCAAGAUUUUUAAAAUGGUGUUUAUAUCUUUGUUUGCUGUUGACCCAAAUGACAUUGGUUUAUGCCCCCUAGAUAAUUAGAAAUCUCAAAAAGUCCUCUGUAUUGUUUCAGACAUAAAUAAAAUUUUCUGAAUCAUCAUCAACAUAAAUUUAGUUAAGUUAAAAACAUUUUAAGAAAUUUAAAAAUGAUUGAUCAUUUAUUAUACAUUUAGAUUUAUUAUACAUUUCUACAUGUUUGGUAAUUCUAUGAAAAAUUGAGAAAUCAUUCAUUCUUUAUGGGAAAUAGAUAUUCUUUUAGUAAGUUUUGAACUGUUUGUUAAAAUCAAAACGCUCUGGUACCAAUGAGGUCAAAUUAAAUAGGAAACAUUAUAUAAUAAAAGUCAUGAUUAUUAUAAAAAAUAGUACCAAAUACUAAAAGGUAUAGUUAUGAUCAUUCAAAAUGUUUUACUGUUUUGUUCUAGUUUUAUUGUUUACAUUCAUAAUGUGGUAUCAAUUAAAAUGUUAAACAUAUAAAAAUUUCCAACACUGUUGCAGAAAGAGAAAACACAGUUUCCACAGAAAAACUAAAAACAGUUAAAACUAGUGUGUUUGAGUUAUUUCAUCAUCCAGGCUUAUGUUUACUAUUUAAAAAGAUAUCUUAUUGUUACUGUUUAUAAAUUUAAAAAUAACAUGCACAGAAUUUGUUUGAAAGCUUUUGUCAUUUUUAAAGAAGGAAACAAGCCUUAAAGAAAAUAUGAUCAGAACAACAUAUUACUAUAACUUUUAUCAUUUUCUUUGUCUAGAUUUUAGCAGAACGGACUUGGUAAUGUAGUGCUGCUUAUUUAUUAACCCAUUGAGUGGCUUUAUCUGCAUAUUGUGUUGCUUAAGCCUGUGAAUAAUCUAUGCAAAAGCUGAAUAUCAGUGACAAAUCAUUUACACUCACAGGUUUUUUUAUGUUACAGCCACUCAGCGAGUUAGUGAACUGCUUUCCUUUUCAGUCAAGCUUAUGUCAUAUAUUCUGGUUAGAAAAGUAAUAUUCUCAUAUAAGUAGUAUUUUUGUAAAGCUUUUGUGACACCAUAUAAUAUUUUGUGCAAUGUAUUUAUUUUCAGAGUAGACGCUGUCUGAUUCAGUAUCAAAUAUCAGUAUGUAAAAUGUUAGCUGUGAGCAUUACAAAACAAGGAGAAUCUGUAAAGUUUUUCUAGUAUGCUAUUGGAAAUUGGUGUAAUUUAUUGAGUAAGCUAGUACAGUAUUUUAGCAACGCUCAAUCUUUCUUUAAAUAGGAUAUAAAAUAUUGUUACAUAUUCUAUGAAAAAUCAAAACAUUUUUUGAUUUGAUUUCGAACAUGCAUUAAAAGAAACGAUAAAUAAAUUAUAUGCCAAAUGUUUUAAUCACAAUUUCUAUUUCUUCCUUUAAAUGUUUGUGAUAUUUAAUAUGUUUUAUUAUAAUUUCUAAUUAUAUGGCACAAAUCUUUUUUAUAAAGAAGUAUUAAAAAUCUCUUUUUAGACAUUUGUAUACUUAUAAAUAAAGACAUAAACAAUAAAUUUAUAACAAUAGAUAAAUAAAUAUUUUCUAAUUUUUAAUAUCUUAGUCAUUUUUAUUUAAAUGUGUUUUAAUUCAUUUGAAUAUAUUUAUUUAAUUUGAGUAGAUAAAAUUUAAAAUUGUCUUCCUUAUAUUAAUAUGCAAUCAAAGUGUGAUGAGUUAACUUGAUUUAUCAGUGCCAUUUUAAAUUCUUUUUGCAUAAUCUGUCCAAAAUUAUUGAGAGCAUUUCAUAUUUAAAAAAAUAAAGAGAUACCUAGUAUAUGCUUAUUGGCUUCUUUGAAAGGUAGAUUCAUAGAGUUCUACAUAACAAAAUUUUAAAUGUUAAUUUUUUUCUACAUGAGUUGAACAUGAACAUAAUCAAACAAAAAAUUCACUCCAUUUAGGACCAUGCUUAUCAAACUGAUACUUUUUGUCCCAUUUCUAUGAAGAAUAUUUAUUGAAAUAUUUUCAUAUUGAAAAACAAUGUGUUUUAUCAGUGUUAAUAUGUGUGUUAUAAAACCCUGAUAUUGAAACAAAUUUUAAGUACAAUAUUAGUAGAAGAAUAUAUACUUUUUUUUAAAAUUGUAAGUUGUUAUUAUUAUUUAUUCUGAAACUCUUAAAAAUAUUUCUUAUGUUUUGCUGUUGUGCAAGCUUAGAAAUUAAAGAAAAUUCAUUAUUGGAUUUUACAUAUUGUAGGAAAAAAGAGACCAAGAAAUAAAAUUCCAAUAUGAAAAUACUAAUUAUAAUAAUAUUAUACCUUAUGUAACAUUAUUAAUAUUUUAACAUUACUGUAUGUAUAAAAAUGAGUUCAACCUAUAAAAGCGCAAAUGAUCUAAUUUGCUAAUUUCAGGCAAUUGUUUCAAUAUUAUGAGAAGCACCAUCAUCAACAUUUGAUUCUGCAGCUUGACUAUAAUAAUGGUGCUUCUCAUAUUAUACUGCAACUAUUUCCUGUCUUUGCAAACUUCCAUUAUUUGUGCUUUUGUAGAUUGUGUUUUGCUUUUUAAUUUUUUUUUCUUAGAAAUAUUUAGCCUACUAUAUUGUGAUAUAGUAGUCUUUUUUUAAUAAUUAUGAUCUGUUCCCUUAAAUUGUAUGUUUUCUUUGUUAAUUUCUUUUUAUAUACAAUUAUUAUUUAACAAAACUUCCCCGUUGUGAUAUUUUUUUUUCUUCAAAAUAAUUUCAAAAUUAAUAAUGUUUCUUGAUUUGACAAAUGUAUUUGUUAAUUUGGGAAAGAAAUACUGCAUCUAAAAAAUUGAGCCUAUUUCUUUUUUAAAAUUAACAAGACUUAAUUACAAAAAUGUAUUGUAUAAAUAUUCUCAGAACAAGUUAGCUAAAAGGUCAAAAUGAGUUUGAUGAUUUGCAUUAUGGUGCAUUUAAUUUAUUAUUCCUGUAGUUUUCUUUUGUAUAAGUUUGUGUGAUUGUUAACAUUUAACGACUGUUUUAACUCAUUUUUCUCUUUCGCUAUUUGACACCAUUUUAGUUCUUGUUUUUACAUAUUUGUCUUUAUUGAAUGCAUGUUAGUAAAAUUAAUCUGAUUUUCAAAUAAUUUUUAUCUAUUUGAAAAGAAAAAAAAUAUAUUUUCAUCAUUGUUAUGUAUUAUUUAUGGCUUAUUAUUCCUGUGUGAUAAAAAAUACUUCAUCAAAAAAUUUAUUUAUUUGAAACAAAAGUCUUUUUGUUGUUUUAUUGUGAUAUUUAAUUUUUUUUUUUUUAUGUUAUCAAAAUGAAGCAGCUUUAUUGAGUGAUAUUUACUAUGCAUUAUAUGUACAUGAAGUUUUAAAUUCAAAACUUCUGUAUGCUUCUGUGUGUUUAGAAACAAACAAGUAGUUUGCUGUGUCAAAGAUAUAUUAUACAUAUACUAUAAUCAUUUUCUAGUCUGUAGUGUGCAAAUCAAAACAUAGAUAUCUUUCAUAUAUGUAUAUGUGUGUGUGUUAGCAUGUAUGUACAAUUAGCUAUUUUAGAUGAAUUUGUUAGAAUUAUAUCAAAUAAAAAGGACAAACAUUU